GCUCUCGUGGAUCAGUGGUAGAUCGUCCUCCACUAUUCAGUGCGAACCCCAUUGUCUACGAGGAAGACGUGGGUUCGAAUCCCGCCAAGGGCA